rnacentral:rRNA from 1 species
UACAGAGGGUGCGAGCGUUAAUCGGAAUUACUGGGCGUAAAGCGCGCGUAGGCGGCUUUGCAAGUCGGGUGUGAAAUCCCCAGGCCUAACCUGGGAACUGCACUCGAGACUGCAUGGCUAGAGUAUCGGAGAGGGAAGUGGAAUUUCAGGUGUAGCGGUGAAAUGCGUAGAUAUCUGAAGGAACAUCAGUGGCGAAAGCGACUUCCUGGACGAAUACUGACGCUCAUGUGCGAAAAGCGUGGGGAGCAAACAGG